GUUCCUGGCAACAACACACCAGGGGAAUUCAAUCAACCAAUUACAGGCUAUGUUGGGCUCACCAAAAAACGAACAUCUGAAGUUCGACCCUAUGGGACUAACUCUCGAGGAGGUCCUUGAUUAAAGGGAUGUCCCCUCGGUUAUUUUACGGUUGAGAACAAGUCAAAUCGCGAUGUUUAUGUAAAUACUAACAUUGAGCGUUGAGUUGGUGCAUUUUCUUCACCAGCUGUGCGUUUCCGGUUAAAUAAGAGCAAACACAUUGACGGAGAUUAUGACUUUUAUUUGAACGACUGAAGGGAACAAUGAGUUUGGGUCGUCAAUUGUUUUAUUUCAUGUUUGGCAUGGCUAUUAUCUACUUUCCACAAACUCGAGGGGACUGUUCAUUGGAGCAUCAACCUUCCAGUUAUGAACUCUCUGCGACAAAUCAGGAUGGACUCAAUUUCGAGUGCUUUGGUAAAAACGUUCAAAGGGGAAAAAAAAUUGAAUGGUAUUGCUCGUUUACAUCUAUGAACGAUUCAUCAGAAAACUCAUAUGUUGGAACAUAUGUCAGCAUACAAGAAAAGAGAACAAAAUGGUAUCAGCACAACAACUCUGCAAAGCCGAUGACUCUCAAAGAUGCAUCGAUAUAUAAAAACAAAACAUGACCGUUCAUGUUUUUGAUAAGGACAACUGUACAAAAGCGUCGUUUAGAGGUGUUCCGAAACAACUGAUUCGUUGUGAUCCACCAGCGAAUGUAAGCUUUCUUCGACUUUCGAGAAGACUCAUGGUGAAUAUGACGUGGAGGCCGGAGGACGAGGGAUAUAUCAAAAAAUAUGAUCUGAGAUACAGAGUGCUCAACAGUGUGUUUUGGAACGAGUCCCAGUCCACCGAAAGGAACAAGGGUUCAGUGGAGCACCUCGACCCCUCGCUCUCCUACGAGGUGGAGAUACGGUGCAGCCCAAUCGACUUCUGCCCAAAGUGCUCCUGGAGUCCCCCCUACCUCUUCCCACCAGAACUAACCGUCCCGCCGGUGAUUCUGAACGUGGAAGACAGCGAUUUUGCAGGACAAAAUGGCCACCGUCUUCUCCUUAUAAGUUGGAAUUAUCCCUCCAGAGAGCUGGUGAAAGGCUACAGCGUGAAGGUGGAGAAGGCCUCUGGAGAGGGUCCCAGCGAUCGUAUCCCCACGGACCAAAUGGAGUUGAGGCUGAUUGUGUCUUACUCCGCCUACCAGCUGCAGAUCACCGCCUCUAACAACUUCAGCACAUCCCCCGCAGCCCACCGGACCGUACCUGCACGCAGAUACAGGGACGGUGCAGGCGGGAGGCUGAACGUCACGUUCCACAGUAACAUGUCCCUCUCUCUGUCCUGGAGCGACUCGGUGGCUCUGAAACCAAUCGUCUGCUACUCCGUCGAACUGAGUGGGCAUAAAAACAGUAUUACGUGUUUUACCUAAACAACGCAUCCCACCAAUUGAUAAGUUUAAAGGAGCCGUUGGAGCCCUAUCAGAUGUAUGACAUCACGCUGCACAUCAGGCCUAACAAAAAUACCUGCAACAUCAAGCGGAUCAACAACAGUGAGAGCACCUACGGGAGCCUGCAGGCCUACUUCAGAGAGGGAAGUCAGUGCACUUAUGUUACUUCUAUAAAUAUGGUCACCCUUACCCCUUAUCCAUGAAUUGUCUGUUCCUCUUUCUCAACAAAUCGUCUACAUGAUGCGAGAUGUAAGAUUGAAGAGAUACCUUUUGAGCGUUAUUUGUUUGAAAUGGCGCAGCCAUCCGUCAGCUAUGAGUGAGAGAAAUGCUCUGUGCGAUGAUCUGUUUCUGGUUGACUGUCGCUGCCCCCGGCUCAUUUUUGAACAAUCAGGGCUUCUCUUCCCUGAUUGCCUAGAUGAAUACAUCUUGUCACACACACACACACACACACACACACACACACACACACACACACACACACACACACACGUGUCUGAAUUCUCGGGGGUCCCUCAGCUCCUGUCAGCGCUCCGACCAACAUCUCCAGGUCCAACGUGACCCUGACCUCCAUGGUCCUUACCUGGAGGCCCGUCCCAGUGGAGGACCUCAAGGGACACCUCCUUGGGUACACCCUCCACUACAAGGAGACUGGUCCACAAAACACGAGCACACCCAGAAACACAACGGUGGAUCCCACAGUAGUCUCACAGGAGCUGGUGGGUCUUGAAAGUGGUACAGUGUACACGGUUCAAAUAGCAGCAUUCACCUCCGCAGGAGCGGGGGUGAAAAGCAGUGCAAGCUACUUUGGUACCAGUUCUCAAGGCCUCCCUUUUCUUCAUAAAGCCGUCAAGAACUCCCUGAUAACGUGUUCUGUGUUGAUAGGCAUCAUCCUGUUCGGCUCGCGACUGUUAAAAAGGGCAAAGCGGUCGUUUUGGCCAAAUGUACCAAAUCCAGGUACCAGCAGUGCGAUCCAGAGAAUGGUUAAGUCCUAUGAGCUGGAGCCCCUGAAGCUGACCAUCCUCCGGGAGGAAUGUGACACGUGUACCCUCCACCUGCCCCCCCCGGACCCGCCGCUGGGCCUUCAGUACACCGGGCUCCAGGGCAGCGGACAGCCACUCGGGACCCCCCCCAGCUGUGAGGAACCGCCGCGACGAGACGCCAGCGACGACUCGACCGGCGACACAUUACCCAACGACGAGAGAACCACGACCCCGGACGCGCUCCAGAGCGAUCCGGAGAGCGCUCCCGGUAAGGGGCCCAGCGACUACACCACCAUGGAGCUGUUUCAGCAGGGCAUGCCUCCACCGCCCCCCAGCCUGUAGGACCGAAGGCCACGCAGGCCUUCACGGAGAGGAGAUGAACAAGACUGUACAUGGGAACGGAUCGGGCUACUCCCGGCAAUCUAGCCAGGGUCCAAUGGAGAUCGGCGCUCUGUAGACUGGAUCGAUUGUUCUAGUGUUCUGAACAUGUGAAAAUGAGCCUCCCGCUCACUUCCACUUAGGGUUGUAGCUGUUAGGACGCAAUGAAGAUCUUGAGUACACCGCAAAAAUUCAGCCAGCAGCAUAAAUUAGGUGAAAAACUGAUUCAUUUUUUUUCACGCUUAAAAAAGUGAAAUGGCAAAGCCAAACACAAUACUUUGAUAAACAAAACCAAAAAUCAACCAGAGGGUUGCUCACUUGCAAAGUUCCAUUAACAUGAGAAUCACCGAACAUGAUCCAGCCUCACAGCAAGCCGUCUCUCUAUGCCUCCACCAACCCCCUUGAAAGCAAAAAAAUACCGGGCUUAAAUAAAGCCAACCAAUUAACUAAAUUGGUAGACACCAAAUACCAUGGGGGUUCACCGACUCAAGUACCAUAAUACAUCUUAUAUUUUAUAAUUAAAUCAUAUUCGACCACACACUUCAUUACACAUCUUAACAGUUCGAAUGUUGAUGAGGUUCACUGUUGCAAAAUACCGUAAUAAUUAAACAUAACAAAUAACGUCUCCCCCCUGACAAACAGUCAGGUUCCUGCAUCCCAAUCAGGCAGUGAUUGCAUUUCCAGGUGCCGUGUUGCCCGGGGUUCAAAAUGUUUGGGGACCCAGGAAGUGGGUGUGGCUGUCAGUGUCUGUCUGUGUCAUGCAAAAUGUAUGGGUUAACGGCAGAGAAUGGAUUAUGGGUUAUGGGUUAAGGAUCAAUGUCUCAUGACGAGACGCGGUUGCCGGCACCGUGCGUCAUACUCAGCAUAAACAUGUGUGAAUGCGGGUGUGCGUGUUGAUCAGUUUACGUGUUGCGGGUAGUGUCAUAUGUACGUGAAAAGGAGGGGCUACCUUUUCACAACCACGUACAAAUGGGUAAAGUCGUUGCUGAGAUCUAGCAUAGUAGGGUGACAAUGGGAGCACUGGGGAUUUGACCUUUUCUAUCGUUCAAAUAAACAUAGGCCAAUCAUCUGCAAAGAGCAUGACUUUCACACCAAUACAUGUGCAACCUGGCAGCUAAUGGCACAGAUAGGAGGACCACAAACUGAAAAGGCCAAAUUCGCUUAGGAAGGAGACUGAAUGUCUGGAAGGAUUGAGCGUGUGGAUGGGUAUAAUACCUUAAGACGCUAAAAAUAAAGUAGACACUUCAAUAAUGGUAGAAGUGGUACCAGCAUACAGAAGAGCUUGAGCACAUUCGUUUCCUUAAGAUAUCAGCCAGGGGAUGUGGCGAGGAGCCGCUGUGAUGUACAGCAGAUUAUCUGAAUGAAAAAGCCUGUGGGUUUUCUAUUUUUAUUGGGGGGGGGGGGGACAUUUGAACAAGACACGACCAGGGAGGUUCAACAGCAUACAUCCAAGCUUUUCAUAAACAUAAAAAACCACCCCGCUUGAAUCAGGAAGUGUAAUUCUUCAUUUUAGGAAUUAGCCAAGAUUGUUUUUAAAUACUUGAAUACAACAUUCUAAAAAAAUACAAUUUGUAUUAUGUUCAUUUGUUUUGUCUUUCAGAUAUCUUACACCAAACAUUUGUCUGUUUGGCAAACCUCUGGUAUGUUACCAACGUUUAGAUGUUUCAUUCCUUAAAUUGUUUUUUAACCGACAUCAAGCUUUGAACUUUUUUGUUAGACAAUAGCAGAUACCUUUCACUGUUAAAUUUCUCAACACUGGAUUUAUUCACACAAAUAAUCCGCACUAGCACAAACAUUUGAACCUGCAAAAAACACAAAUAUUCACCAUCAGCUAUACUUUUUUUUAUGUCGAAGACAAUUUUACUCACAAAUGUAUUGUAACUUCAACACCUAAUUAACAAAUCUUAGUUUGCCAAAAUAAAUUGAGGUUGGACUUUUAGGGAAUUAUUCAGUGUUUUGUACAAUCUUAGUCUAGGCACUUUUCAGUUGUCUGUGCUUGCAAUACGUUUUUUCAAAUUUUACUUCAGCCAAUGUUUGACCCAAUGCCCAUAGCACUGGUUUUAAUGUACAAUGUGCCAAGUGAUAUUUUAAUGCCGCCUAUGUCAACCAAUUUACGUGUGGAAAAUUAUAGAAAUGUGUACAUAAAAUUUAGUUUCACACUUCUACCUCCUGCGAUGCACAUUUCCAAAAUACAAAUAUAGCACCAAAGUAAACAGCAACAAAAUAGGAAAAGUCAAAUAUAUAUGUAAUAUAUGUUUUACUAGGGAGUGAAAAAUACAUUUGACCACAUAUAUAACAACAUACAUAAGAAUGUUCUUUAUCGGAUGUUGUGGAGCUUUAAGAAACAAACCAAAUUGGCAAAAUAAGUCAUACAUUUCUUCUGAUUGCUUGUAAUUACAGUAAUAUAUAUCAACCCGUUUGUUGCAUCACAAAAAGGUGAGCGACACAAAAAUAAAGGGCAUACUGUACAGAUCCUGUGGCUGUGAUAGACUGCACGAGGCAUGUGAUGAAUGUAUCCUCCAAACAACAGACAGGGCUAUUUCCCCCGGGCACCAUAAAAAGCAUCUGUGUCCUCCUGAUGUUGUACCUCAUACAUUAUUAAACCCGGCCCAUACAUAAACACUACCUAUUCACUGUACACAAAAUGGUCAGAAUAAUACAAUCCAAGUAAUAAUAAAAAAAAAGGACCUAUUUAUUUCCCAUGAGACAUCGGAAGCAAAAUGAGAUGCGUUGCCAAGAUAGUUCAUUUCUACUCCUCAGUGGUCUCUGAAUGUCAUGUUUAUUUUUAGAUUCAAACAUUUGUCUUAUUGCUUAAGAGGAUUAUCAGUAUGUGCCAGUUAGAUACAGGGUGGGCUGUUCUUUUUUUUUUUUUUUUUAAUCAAGUCAAUACAGGCUCUGUAUGUUAGCGAGGUAAGCAUAGCCUGUCCCAUCCCUAGUACUGAAGCAAGGGGUUCUACACAGUUGUACAAAGAGGGGAGCUUUUGGACGAUUAUUCAGAUUUCUCUUCUACUACGGUACUCCCUUUUUUUCUUUCUUUUGUUAGUUAGUAGACUUGUAAUUAAAAAGUAUUAAAUAUAAAUCUUUGUUUACGGUUUACUCAUUAAAUCGGACCAUUUGUCCCAAAUAGAUGGUACAAUAGCUGAAUCCAUAAAGGUUCCACGUUCUGUCAACUGAUUCUGAUAUCAAAAUACUGUUCAGUAAAAUAAAAUUGACAAUAAAGAUUGAUUUCCUUUCAGUUUAAUAACUAAAUUGCUCGUCAUUGACAGAUGGACACAUCUAUGAAAUCGAUAUCCUUGUUUGGUGACACCUGUACCACAAAACGGAAUUUGUGUAGUGCCAGUAUGAAAUUGAAUAAAAAACUAAAAGCAAACAACCAGAUGGUGAUUGAACUAAUACAACGCUGCGUCUUAAAAAUGGGCGACUGACAUGUGUGACACUACCCAACUAUGUGUGAGUUUUGUCGUUUGCGAAUACGUAUUUCAACACACUUUUUUUUAAUAUAGCCACUGUUAGCCAAAAAGAAGACCUCUGGUCUCCUACUUCGUGUUGAACCUACGGACACGUGCUCUUCGCCCAGUCUCUCUCAGCGGCCAUUUUGUUGUGUACAGGGGGAGGCCAUGUCCUCGCUGGCCGAUCCGGAGCCUUCUCUGUCGCUCUCACAGACUUCCUUUGCUUCCCGUUCAACAUCCUUUUGCACCUUCAAUGUCAAAUUAAAUGAAAAAAACAAGUGAGCGAGCGGACAAAUAUAUUUUACAGAAUACAUGACUUAUUACACCCCUUUAUUUAUUUAUUUUCCAUAUUCUGUCUUUAUUUUACGUAUUAAUUUGAAUGCAUUUUUUGUUCUCGAGUACGUUUCGACGAAGGCUGGACAUUUUGGCGUACACUAUAACUAGCUUAAUGCUACAGAUGCUUAAAGUGCAAGGACUGGAUCUCUGGG
ensembl:lncRNA